CCCCCAUUUUACAAAAAGUUCUGGAUCUGCUCCUGACUAUAGGUGCUGAACGUUAUGUUACAUGUAUAUUAAAAUUGAUACAUUUUUUAGGCCAGAAUGGCACACCCCUACCAUAAAAAUAUUGAGGUAUCAUUUAGUAUCAAUGGGAUCUAUAAAUAUAUCCCCUAGAUGAGAAAAGACCUAAUUGUUCUUCUUAUAUUCUUUUUUUUUCUUCUUAACAUCUU
rnacentral:lncRNA from 1 species